CAGCAGCCGCCACGGUAAUACGUAGGGUGCAAGCGUUAAUCGGAAUUACUGGGCGUAAAGCGUGCGCAGGCGGUUAUAUAAGACAGAUGUGAAAUCCCCGGGCUCAACCUGGGAACUGCAUUUGUGACUGUAUAGCUAGAGUACGGCAGAGGGGGAUGGAAUUCCGCGUGUAGCAGUGAAAUGCGUAGAUAUGCGGAGGAACACCGAUGGCGAAGGCAAUCCCCUGGGCCUGUACUGACGCUCAUGCACGAAAGCGUGGGGAGCAAACAGGAUUAGAUACCCGCGUAGUCCCUGUCUCUUAUAC
rnacentral:rRNA from 1 species